rnacentral:rRNA from 1 species
AGAGUUUGAUCCUGGCUUAGGACUGAACGCUAGCUACAGGCUUAACACAUGCAAGUCGAGGGGCAGCAGAUCGAUAGCUUGCUAUUGAUGCUGGCGACCGGCGCACGGGUGAGUAACGCGUAUCCAACCUUCCCUAUAGUAGAGGAUAGCCCGGCGAAAGUCGGAUUAAUACUCUAUGUUUUCCGAAGCAGACAUCUAAUUUGGAACAAAGGUUUUACCGCUAUAGGAUGGGGAUGCGUCUGAUUAGGUAGUCGGCGGGUAACGGCCCACCGAGCCAACGAUCAGUAGGGGUUCUGAGAGGAAGGUCCCCCACAUUGGAACUGAGACACGGUCCAAACUCCUACGGGAGGCAGCAGUGAGGAAUAUUGGUCAAUGGGCGAGAGCCUGAACCAGCCAAGUAGCCGUGCAGGAUGACGGCCCUAUGGGUUGUAAACUGCUUUUAUACGGGGAUAAAGUGAGGGACGUGUCCCUUUUUGUAGGUACCGUAUGAAUAAGGACCGGCUAAUUCCGUGCCAGCAGCAGC